rnacentral:lncRNA from 1 species
CUUCUCCAUUUCAUAAAUCACCAAUUAAUCUUUAGCGUUUACAACUCAAUAGACCAUGAUGUCCAUUAAUUGCAGCAUAUAUUGAGACAAGUCGUUCAUAGACUACGCAACUAAGGUCGCAACUGUCUCGUCCCAACAUGGCCCAGUGGAGCCUGUAACGACGGCCGCCCUUGAUUUAUACCUGAAGCGGCCGCACGGUGUAGCUCGGAUUGAUAUAUACCUUCUUCCAAUCAACUAAAAUUUCUCAUUCCAAUGGCUUCUUUUUUCUUUUAUUUUUCAUUGACUAACCUUUUUUUCAAAGACUGAAAAUCAUAUUUUCAAGACUCAUGCUAUUUAUUCACACAAACAACUUUCAAACGAAUCCUAUGCAAAUUUAGUUCCUCUGCAGCAGUUCCCAAUACAAUCUUUCCAAGUUCCCAAUACCUCCUGUGCAUUCUUUUUCAAUACAAAAUAAAUAAUUUUCAUGCAUUUGCAUUCUCUCACGCAGCAACAGCGCCUAGAUUAAACAUACUAUCUGCCAUUCCAGUGUUAGCCUAGGCCAUCCAGAUUACCAUGCGGCAUCAAUUUCCUCAUGAAUCGACAGCUGAAGGUCCGCUCAAUAUAAAGGCUGCGGUCCCCUUAAUGCAACACAUACACCUGUUUCCUCAAUCCUUAGAGCCUUAGAAUUUCGUUUUUAUAUUUGAUUAUCCAUUAAUAGAUAUAGGGCCGGGAAUGGAUCAGGUUGGGCCUAAGUCAAUUGGACAUAGACCCGGCCUACUCGUUCACGUUGUAUAUGGGUCUAUAAGUAAAAAAUAUAUAAAUAAGGAAAAAGCUUGGAUACACCCUUUCUCGUAUAAGAAAUGGGAAUGCCCAACGGUUCAUAUUUGUUCAUCGUAUUCGAACGGUGAUGCUUAUAUCUUUUAGGUCAUCUCACCUGACAGAGGACCAGACAUUCGCAGGCGUCUCUGGCAGGUCUACUUCUUGUUUUCCCCUCUCUCUCUCAGCUGAUCCUCUUUGUCUCUCUAAGCUGAUUUCUACUUGCAGCCGUGCCUCCCUCUCAUAAGAGCAUUUCGAUUUCUCUCUCUCAGCUGAUUUCUACUUGCAGCCGUGCCUCUCCCUCAUCAGAGCAUUUCGAUUUCUCUCUCUCAGUUGAUUUCUACUUGCAGCCAUGCCUCUCUCUCAUGAGAGCAGUUCGAUUUCUCUCUCUCAGCUGAUUUCUAUUUGCAGCCAUGCCUCUCUCUCAUCGGAGCAUUUUCAUUUGCUCUAUUUAUCGAUACUUGAUUCAUGUCGUCUACUUCUCUAUUGGGUGUUCUGGACUUGUAGAUUUAUCUAUCAAUGCCAUAGGUCAUGCUAUAAUUUUUGUUUGUUUUAUGCCAUGGAGUAUGCGAACCAUUCUGAUUAGGGUUUUUUUUGGAAACCUACUGUCACACCCCAAGAAUUUACAAUACAGAUAUUCUUGAGAUGUGAUAGUCAAAACAUAUAUACAUUUCUUGAUAGGACAAAUUUACAGUGGCGAAUUCUUAUAAAGUAACAAAAGAAAGCUUAAGCACAACUACAGUAUCUUUCAAAGUUGAACCUGACGAGCACUCAAAAUGAAACCGCAGUUAUCCUGAAAAAAAUGUUUACCAUAAUUUGAUGAGUUUGGCUACUCAGUAAGUGAUCAUCAUAAUCCUAAAAAUAAUCAUGAUUUAAAGAUAUCAAUAUUUUCAAAAAGGAGAUCUAUUAACAGAAAUGCAUUAACGGUUUCACUUUAAAAAAAAAUGCAUAAUAAAGUAUAAUUUGAAUAAUUGAAAUGCGCAUAACAUUUUAACGGUAAUGCAUAAUUCAAAAGAUUUCAUA